rnacentral:rRNA from 1 species
ACCUGCGGAGGGAUCAUUACCGAGUUUACAACUCCCAAACCCCUGUGAACAUACCUUAUGUUGCCUCGGCGGAUCAGCCCGCGCCCCGUAAAAAGGGACGGCCCGCCGCAGGAACCCUAAACUCUGUUUUUAGUGGAACUUCUGAGUAUAAAAAACAAAUAAAUCAAAACUUUCAACAACGGAUCUCUUGGUUCUGGCAUCGAUGAAGAACGCAGCAAAAUGCGAUAAGUAAUGUGAAUUGCAGAAUUCAGUGAAUCAUCGAAUCUUUGAACGCACAUUGCGCCCGCCAGUAUUCUGGCGGGCAUGCCUGUUCGAGCGUCAUUUCAACCCUCAAGCCCAGCUUGGUGUUGGGAGCUGCAGUCCUGCUGCACUCCCCAAAUACAUUGGCGGUCACGUCGAGCUUCCAUAGCGUAGUAAUUUACACAUCGUUACUGGUAAUCGUCGCGGCCACGCCGUUAAACCCCAACUUCUGAAUGUUGACCUCGGAUCAGGUAGGAAUACCCGCUGAACUUAAGCAUAUCAAUAAGCGGAG